CGGCAUUAUUGUGACAGAUUUACAAAACAAUACACUUAUAAAAUAGUUCAUGUGCCGAAUUGUAGGCUGUUUGCCUGACAGUGUUGCAGCCAAUCAAAAUUUAAACUUGAAAAUGCUUUCUUAAAUGCUUUAUAAUGUUUUAAGAUGAAAGUUUCUGCAUAUUUUCAUAUAAAGAUUUUUUAAAGUAGCUUUCUUGUUAUUUGAUCCCUUGCAACUAAAGUUUAAGCACAUAAACUGAAUACGACACAGAAGCAAUUAUAAAACCCCUUAAUCUGAAAAUAAAUAAACAAAUAAACCAGUUGUCUUAACUUAGUUUUGUGCAACCGGUUGUUCUUAAGCAAAUAAUGUAUCAAGCAUCAGAGCCACAGAAAGACAGUGAGGGAGAAAGACAAAGAUACAGCGGGUCUUGACAGCUGACCUCUCGGGUCUGACCCCGUCCUCUCUGUUUCCACAGGCCAUUCCACAACUCUCCUGCCAACAUUUAAACACUUCCUGUAAGACAGGCGGGCGGCAGGAAGUUGCCUCGUUGACCGGAGACGCUUCAGUUGAGAGCAUGAAAGAACCGUAAGCGUGCCGAUCCUGCAGUCUGUCCAGAGUUCCAGGCUCAUGUCUCCAGUUACCCGCUGGGCGCUGCUUGGUGAUGGGCAUCAUCCUUUUGGAUUCUGGGCGCUGGACCAGCAGUGGCUGCCAGGGCAGUUUACCCCCAACUGGACUUUAACACAGUACAGCACUUCAUACUGGGGAUGUUCCACAAAUGAACCGGGCUGCGUUGAGUUCUCAUGACACCGGGGCGCCUCAGGUGCUGAGCGCAGACCCAGAUCUGUCUACCUCCCCCUCCAGCGCUGUCUCAACCCUCUGGAAAUGAAUGAAACAGGAAGAGCUGAGGUGAGGACAGGAAAACAGACACGCCCACACAUCCUCAACUCCUGAAUGAUUGAGAAAAAGAUGGACUGGGAGUGAGAGCAGGAUAGAGUUGUGUGGUUGACCACAUCCUUCCUCUCUGUCCUUUCAGGUUUUCAAAAUCUUCCUAACAUUCAUUCUUUAAAUAAUCCUGUGUAUUUGCAUCUGCAUUUAUGCAUUUUGCAGAAAAGUUUUGCAUUCUUUGCAUUUCCUGGGAAUCGAACACAUGACCUUGGUUGACAUUGCUUGCUGUUAUUAUUUAAAUUAAAAAAGUGAGUAUUUUACAUUUAAAAUUUUCCAAAAGCAAAUAAUGGUGUUGCAAAAUAAUACUGUUAGAGACUUUGCUUAUAAUAAAUACAUAAAUAAAUAAAAUCUAAGUCAAUGGGGAACUUCAAUCCUAAUCUUAUGAAAUAAUAAAUAAUAAAAUGUCUAAUGUCUAAAUGUCUAAUAUCUUUAAUUUUAAAUUUGUACAUUUUUAAAGUUUUAUGAAGCAAAUAAUGGUAUCACAUAAUAAUAUUUAGUUACAGGUUUUGGUUAAGUCGAUGGGGAA
ensembl:lncRNA